UCUUUGGUUGCCCCCUUGCGAUCUUCAGGCCGCUAAAAGUUGUGUUUCAGUAGCAGUCCAAGAAGACAGUUUUUUUCUAACAAUAAGGACAAAACAGUGAAGAGCAUACAGAUAUUGGUAUCCUUAGAGAAUUCAGGGUUUUCACUCAGCUCACUAAAUGUUAAUCUGUUGCAGUUCAGCUAACUAUCAAAUGACACCCUCCUUCUUCUUAAGACCAAAGAGCAUUUAAAAAUGAGAAAAUGAAAAAUCCAAGAUGUUCAAUACCUUUCCCAUUUACCACUUUCAAAGUUGCCUUGUUAAAAAGUUGGGUCUAGCUGCUCUGGCUGGUGUAGAACGAAAGUCAGUACAAAGGUUAGUUUUUUAAGACUGUGCUGCCCAUCACUGACUAAUAUUGUAAUAAUGCAGAGAUCAGACUGAUUUCUGGUAUUUAAUUUUAUUAUGGAAGUAGUUUAUGCAGGUCUCUCUGACGUGUUGUAGACCAGGGAGGAAGAAAGAUGGGAUUGAAAGGCUUUCCUCUCAUCAUUCACUUGAAGUAUGAUGGGGAUUUGAGAAACAGCAAACCAUGACUAACAAUGAUGUGUGAAUCUAAAACAGGUCAGAUGAUCUGUUCAAAUAACUCCUCCCACCCCUCCAAAAAUAGAUGCAGUAGUUUCAUUUCUCUCUAGCCCUUCUCUUCACAACCGCACAGAGAUUUCUUACCUUUGAAAACCUCCCCAGAAGUUAACUCUGAACUAGAAAAAACAGCACUUGCUGCGAUUGUAACACACCUUCUGUCCACACAUAAGUAUUUGCAACAAUCCACAAAUACUGCCAGCACUAUUGCAAUUGUACUUAAUUGGAGUCAGGGUCACACUUUUGUACCCUGCACUGAAUCACUGCACUUUUUGGCUUCAUCUAUGCUGGACAGUUUAGAUGUAGUUCUCCACUGUUAGAAGCUGUAAUUUAGGCAGGGCUCAAGUGGUUUUUUUUUUACCACCAUGUUGUCUGCUUCUGAGUGGGUUAGGACAACAAACUGGUAAAAUGCUUGAGCUCUGUCUACAGCUUUCAAUAUUGCUACCAUGAUUUGUGGUGAAUUAUAGCUGUGAGGUUGUAAUGGGCCGUCUUGCAGUUCUACAAUCCUCUUGCAACCUUUUUAGUGAUCACACUGUAAUGGCUGCUGUACCCUCUUCUGAGCUACUGCAGCUUCUAGGGCUCAAAUUAGGCAUAGAGCAACUUGGCAAGCUAGCAUUUUUUUAGGUGGCCAUCUUGUACUACAAAAUGUCAACUUUCAUAAAGAAAGUCUCCAGCCCUUUUGUUUGUAAAGAAAACCAUCAACAUGUGAAUAGAGUAUGAGCCUCUGCAGUGAUAGCUGCCUUAGUUUACAUGGGGCCUGAAAUAAAAGAUCAAAUGUGAGCUACCCUGUUCAUCUUAAAGGGUGUUAACUCAGAUUCCUAAUGGUUAUAGUUUUAAUGUCAUUUAAUGUCAUAGGUUACAUUUCACUAAUGAUCAAAGCAUGUAAGAAGGAGGGACAAAGCUACAAAGUCUAGCGAUGUAUCUGAACCCAUGCUGAGGAGUCCAGCAUUGUCUCCACAGAGCAUGCAGGAUCCGUUAUUUAAUAUCUGCACCAGGAGUCGGCAAUCUUCGGCACGUAACCCAUCAGGGUAAUCUGGUGGCAGGCCGCGAGACAUUUUGUUUACGUUGACUUUCUGCAGGCACGGUCCCCCACAGCUCCCAGUGGCCGUGGUUUGCCGUUCCUGGCCAAUGGGAGCUGCAGGAAGUGGCGGGCCGUGCUGGAGCUGCGAGGGGGACAUACCUGCAUAUGGUCAACGUAAACAAAAUGUCUUGCGGCCCGCCACCAGAUUACGCUGAUGGGCCGCGUGCCGAAGGUUGCCGACCCCUGAUCUACACUGAGUAGUGUCUCAGUUUAGACAUCUCAUAGGGGUAGAGCUUGGAAGAAGAGUAUCACUGCUUUCCCCCCCUCAAUUCUACCUGUAGAACCUCUCUUGUAAUUUUAUGCAUACAAAAUUGCAUCUGUUGCAUAAGGUGGAAAUACAUAUGACUGUGUUCUUGUCAGAAAAAAUAAAAAUAGUUUUUUGGAAUACCUACUAUUUUAGGCAUUUUAAAAGGGUAAAUGUAUAUGGUUAACAUUUAAAGUAUAUUUGAUUCAGCACCUCUUCAACUGUGGACUGCUACUCUUACAACUCUUCUAUAAGGGACCUAUACAGUUCCUCCCUUUCCCCACUUUUGAGAAGAUGGGAGCACUAGUACUCUCCCAAGAGCCACUCACAACCCAUUUCACUUUCCUGUGAAAGCAAAAUUAGAUUGUGCAGAUCUUCAGAAUAUAAUCAUCCAUUUCCUGUUUUACCUGUUUGAUCAUCAGUGAAAUACUUAUCUAAAUUAUUAUGAACAAAGGUUGUUCUCACUUCAGAUCUUGUAUUUCAGACUGAUUGCCAACUAGGACAAGGACAAGGACAAGGGUCCUUGUCUACACUAACCAUUUUAAUGAAAAGCUUUCUAUCAUUGGUAACACCAGUGCAGCUCCACUAAUGGGAGUCCAAGUGUAGACAAGGCACUGUCAGCAACUCAUAUUUUUGCCAACAUGUCAUGUUUUAAACAGGUUUAGCUGACAAGCUGAAACACCCACGGCUGCUUGGAGCCUUUUCUAUCCCAAUGUUCCCACUGGAGGAAGUGCCACUAUAGGAAAUUUUGAGAAAGAGUUGUUUGCAAACAUUGCAGCUACACUGGAAACAUUGAACAUAAUGCAAAACUUACAUUAUAGCAACUACUGGCAAUGAUACAAUUGGAUUGGUGCUUAUGUUAAGCCAUUAAUAUAGAAAGGGCUCACCACUGUAUCAUGAAAACCUAUUUUAACAGAUUUUCAGGAUGCUGGUUAAAAACUCCUGAGCUCUAUCCUUGGUAUCACUUACACUUUUAUCACCAGUGCCAUCCGUGGCAAUGGUUGAAAUAUGGGUACUAACUUUCCUAGCAUAGACAAAGUCUAGAGACUUAUUUGUAAAAAAACAACCAACCAACCUGGGCUGUCAUGAGCUAUCAAAAUUCAACUUCUUAGUAUGAUGUGGUAGAUCUCUAGGAUCCCUGCCAGUUUGCCACAGAAAAAUGUAGAAUCUGCAUUUUUAAAGAGAAUCAUUAGUUUUUACAUUUUGUGAAAAAUAAAAACAUAUACAAUGGAACCCCAAUUAUCUGAUCGAAUUGGGAAUGGGGGCUGGUCAGAUAACCAGGAGAAUGGGCAGGGCUCGGGCUGUCAGCUUAAAAAUUGUAAAUAUAUCACUAGAACAUUGUGUUUCAUUGAUACAUGUAUAUAUUGUAGCUAGGGUAACUAAAGUUCAGCAUUUAAUUUUAACCGUGGAAAAACUUGGAUUUUUUAUGGUUUUUUAUUGGAGAAUUGUGGUUUUUGUAUCACAGAAAACUAGGAUCCCUGGUGAUAGGCAACCGCAAUGUCUGCUACUGCAAUAACUGGAGAGUUCAUACACUCUGAACAGCUGGGAUGAACACACUGCACUAUGACAAGUAACAAAGUUCAGCUGAACUGUUUGCUUGUAAUAAUGCAAAUCUCAAGUGCAGAUGGAGCUAGUGUGUCUGCUGGGACUUCAGACUGCUGUUUUAUAAAGAGAAGAUCUUGGGCUUCCCCAUCAGUCAAUCUCAGUGCAUGCAGAUCUUAAUGCAGAAAAAAAACAGAAACCAAGACAACACUAUUUCCCAAAAUCCAUCAGACUUCAAGAGAAUCUUCAAAGGCACAGGAACCACAGGGGGAUAUCAUUAGUCUUUUCUUUUAUAACUGUACAAAAAAUGUCUACUUUUUCACAACUCUAAAUGUAAAAUCAAAUGUCAUUAGUGCCACAUCCCCGGCAAGCCCCUCUGCCUAAAGGCCAGCCUAUAUGUUACUUCUCUCAGAAGACAAUUAGUAUUUUUACCAGUGACAACACCAUUCUUCCAAGCAAACACAUUUAUUAGGGCAAAAACGUUACAGGAAACCAUAAAAAAUAAGAGUUCCUAUAUGCUGCUAAAAGCUUACCAGAGGUCAUCCAUCAGUCUUAGGAAGUUCUAGUAAGCCAAAGGCCCUCCAAACCUUCCGCAAGUGGGUCUUUUCUGUUUGCCAAAUCAAAAGAAAGCCAUGUAUACCAAAACGCUUUUUAUACCGAAAGCCCUUUUUUGUCCAAAUCUCUCGAAAAAUCCAGUUUUUUUGAAUCAGUAUAUUCAACACCCUAGGGGGUGGCGUUUCUUUGGAAUUGUUUACAAUCUCCAGGGUAAUCACCCCCUUAUAAUUACUCCCUACUGUUUUAGUUCCUGGAGGAUGCAUGGAAAGCCUCCACCAUGGAGUAGAACACAAUCAUGCAUAAACCAUUAAUACAUUUCAUGCAAUGGACCCCAAAGAUGCUGCAUGGGAUUGCAAUAUCUGUCACAAUUAGAAUCACACAGGCCUGUAGCUAGGAAAGCAAAAAAAGGGAGGCAAUAAAUUGUGGGUUAUCGCCCUCCUGGCAAAUUUUAGACUAGCAAGUGCAAUUUCCUGUAUUUUAGAAGAUUUUAUUUCUUGGAAUUGCAAAUAACUGUCUUUGAGAAAUUA